UACGUAGGGACCAAGCGUUGUUCGGAUUUACUGGGCGUAAAGGGCGCGUAGGCGGCAAUUCAAGUCAGCUGUGAAAUCUCCGGGCUUAACCCGGAACGGUCAGGUGAUACUGUUUUGCUAGAGUGCGGAAGGGGCAAUCGGAAUUCUCGGUGUAGCGGUGAAAUGCGUAGAUAUCGAGAGGAACACCAGAGGUGAAGACGGGUUGCUGGGCCGACACUGACGCUGACAGCGCGAAAGCCAGGGGAGCAAACAGG
rnacentral:rRNA from 1 species